rnacentral:lncRNA from 1 species
UCGUGAUAACCGGACAGACUGGUGUGCUGUAUACCCGUCCAUAUGAUGGAUGCAGUUGGUCUCAUAGCUGCUCGUGUAGGGACACUAGGGAUACAGUACAGGUGCUCAUUGGAGAAUGAGUUCACUGAUUGAUCCGCUUACGGAAUGCUGGAUGGUUGAUGAUGCCUUAUUGUCAGACAACGAUUCCGUAGUCCUAGUGGUGUAUCUGGUCCUUAGACUUGAGACACCAAGGAUGUCCUGUAUGAGUGCUCCACUCUUUGAUACUAGACUUAUAGGUUUGGCU